rnacentral:rRNA from 1 species
UACGAAGGGGGCUAGCGUUGCUCGGAAUCACUGGGCGUAAAGCGCACGUAGGCGGAUCUUUAAGUCAGGGGUGAAAUCCUGGAGCUCAACUCCAGAACUGCCUUUGAUACUGGGGAUCUCGAGUCCGGAAGAGGUGAGUGGAACUCCGAGUGUAGAGGUGAAAUUCGUAGAUAUUCGGAAGAACACCAGUGGCGAAGGCGGCUCACUGGUCCGGUACUGACGCUGAGGCACGAAAGCGUGGGGAGCAA